GGAAAGAUAUGUAAGCUCAGUAGUAGAGCAUCUGCUUUCCAUGCAAAAGAUCCCAGAUUCAAUCCCUGGCAUCUCCA